GACGAACGCUGGCGGCGUGCUUAACACAUGCAAGUCGAACGAAGAGCGAUGGAGGCUUGCUUCUCUCAAUCUUAGUGGCGAACGGGUGAGUAACGCGUAAUCAACCUGCCCUUCAGAGGGGGACAACAGUUGGAAACGACUGCUAAUACCGCAUACGAUCUAAUCUCGGCAUCGAGGAUAGAUGAAAGGUGGCCUCUACAUGUAAGCUAUCACUGAAGGAGGGGAUUGCGUCUGAUUAGCUAGUUGGAGGGGUAACGGCCCACCAAGGCGAUGAUCAGUAGCCGGUCUGAGAGGAUGAACGGCCACAUUGGGACUGAGACACGGCCCAGACUCCUACGGGAGGCAGCAGUGGGGAAUCUUCCGCAAUGGACGAAAGUCUGACGGAGCAACGCCGCGUGAGUGAUGACGGCCUUCGGGUUGUAAAGCUCUGUUAAUCGGGACGAAAGGCCUUCUUGCGAAUAGGGAGAAGGAUUGACGGUACCGGAAGAGAAAGCCACGGCUAACUACGUG
rnacentral:rRNA from 1 species